GGAAUUAGUAAGUUUGUCCAGCAUCAACCAAAAAAUAUGAAUAAACAAAAUCCAUGGAAUUAAUGCAAACUGAACAUUUACUCAAAUGACUAGACCAGCGAAAAUACUCGAUUUGGAAAAUAUUCAAUGAAAUAAUUGAAGUGUCAAUUAUCACAGAUCAAGCAAGAAAACAACUUCUCAAUGAAAGACUUGGAGGUUGUGUUGGUAGGUAGCUUGGGUAAAACAAUGACCUCGGAUUCAUCUACUCCACUUUCCCUGGCUUUCUCACAUUCUUCACAGAAUUUCUUGUAGGCAUUCUCUACAUACUUUGCAGCUUGUGAAACUGUCAUGCCCUCCACAAGUCUUUGAGGAUAAAUGUCAUUCUUAUGAUCUCCGUUCAAUACUGCUGCCAUUUGUACUAGUUCUUCUUGGAAUUCACUAAGAUUUGCCUCUUCAUUCGCGUUAAAUUCGCGCAGUCUCACAGGUUCUGGCAAUGUAACUGGACAAUCUGUUCUUGGGCUAGUUCUAGUCAAAACACUCUCAAAAGUGCCGGCCCAUGCAUCCCGCUUGGUCAGAAACUCUUUUAGAUUGAAAAGUUUUUUAACUGUUGCUGCGAUGGAGGAAUGUUCAUACUGUGAUGUAGGUUCUGGUCCUGAAGGUUCGUGUAGUACUGAAAUUCAAUUUAAUCAUAAAUCUAUCUUAGCUUGCUUCAAAAUCAGGAAAUUUACACAUACAAAACCUGCUAUUUGUGCGGGUAUAACCAUUAAUUUUAGGAAGUAUUGGUUCAAUCUCAUAGCGCAGGUGGUCAAGAGUUCAGUACUGAUGCUCUCCAGGUAGACAAAACUAAGCCAACAUUAACAAGGUGGAAGCAAACAAUGGUAAAAAUGUACCUGUUCCAGGUUCAAUCCAAGGAGAUAUUAGAAAGGCUGGAACCCUGACACCGAGGCGAUCAAACUUGAAGAAAUAUGGAGCAGGACCAACAAUAUCAUCAGGACUAGGGACCCCUGUUACAGGAGUUGGAACAUGAUCAAAGUAACCACCAUGUUCAUCAUAUAUGAUUAUGAAGAGCAUUUCAUUCCACUGGGGGCUAGCUCUCAGAGCUUCAUAGACUUCUUUCCCAAAUUUCUGGCCUUCAGAGACAUUGUGUGAAGGAUGGUCAUCGUUUGCAGGUAAGUUUAAAAGGUCGAAAUACCUUGGUUCAAUCACCACAUAGUUUGGUAGCUUCCCUUCCUCACAGUGCUUCUUAAAGUGCAGAUCAAACUGGUGGAAGUUCUUCAGGUACUUCAACUUUCUAAGAUUCCUGUAGAACAGAGUAGAAGGAGGGUGUUGAUAAUAAAUCCCAAAGGUAAAACCAGACUCAUCCAUCGACUCAAAUAUGGUCUUCUGCGGAUAGCCUUCUGCAAGCAACUUUGUGUCAUUACUCGUCGCCCCAUGCGAAGUAGCAGAAUGCACGUACAACCUAUUCGGCUGCGUCAAAGACGGAAUUGAAGCAAACCACCGAUCACAUAUUGCGAAAUUCAUCGCCAACUCCUUAUAAACCGGUAGGGCCUCCGGUUUAAAUCCGUUCAUUACUGUCUUCGCCAUUCCCUGCUUAAUACGCUCCGCGUUCUGAGCGAACCCAUUCAUUUUCGGUGUCAGAGUGUUCUCGCUAGUAAGUGCGGCUUCUGUCCAUUCAACACCGAACACCUGCUCGUAAAUGGCUUCGAUGGAGUGGCCAGGAUCAGGGUCGACGUAUGCAGCGUUGUCUCCGUAGAAGAUGAGGGAUGAGUUGGAGUCGGAGGUGGAGAUGGGGUUGGAAUCGGAUCCUGUUACGCCAUCGAUUUCUGGGUUGAGAGUCUUCAGCCAGCCUAGCAUGUGAUCGAAUGAACGGUUUUCUUGGACCAGAACCACCACCGUUUUGAUGGGGUAUUCUCGCGGGGCGGCGGAGGAGCUCUCUGCAACCAUAUUUGGUGGUUCUUGGAGGGUGUUGCUUUGGUUGCGAGGAGAUGACU
rnacentral:misc_RNA from 1 species